UGAGUAAUGCAUAGGAAUCUGCCCGGUAGUGGGGGAUAACCUGGGGAAACCCAGGCUAAUACCGCAUACGUCCUACGGGAGAAAGCAGGGGAUCUUCGGACCUUGCGCUAUCGGAUGAGCCUAUGUCGGAUUAGCUUGUUGGUGAGGUAAUGGCUCACCAAGGCGACGAUCCGUAGCUGGUCUGAGAGGAUGAUCAGCCACAUCGGGACUGAGACACGGCCCGAACUCCUACGGGAGGCAGCAGUAGGGAAUAUUGGACAAUGGGCGAAAGCCUGAUCCAGCCAUGCCGCGUGUGUGAAGAAGGCUUUCGGGUUGUAAAGCACUUUCAGUGAGGAAGAAGGCCUUGGGGCUAAUACCCCCGAGGAAGGACAUCACUCACAGAAGAAGCACCGGCUAACUACGUGCCAGCAGCCGCGGUAAUACGGAGGGUGCGAGCGUUAAUCGGAAUUACUGGGCGUAAAGCGCGCGUAGGCGGCGUGAUAAGCCGGUUGUGAAAGCCCCGGGCUCAACCUGGGAACGGCAUCCGGAACUGUCAGGCUAGAGUGCAGGAGAGGAAGGUAGAAUUCCCGGUGUAGCGGUGAAAUGCGUAGAGAUCGGGAGGAAUACCAGUGGCGAAGGCGGCCUUCUGGACUGACACUGACGCUGAGGUGCGAAAGCGUGGGUAGCAAACAGGAUUAGAUACCCUGGUAGUCCACGCCGUAAACGAUGUCGACUAGCCGUUGGGGUCCUAGAGACCUUUGUGGCGCAGCUAACGCGAUAAGUCGACCGCCUGGGGAGUACGGCCGCAAGGUUAAAACUCAAAUGAAUUGACGGGGGCCCGCACAAGCGGUGGAGCAUGUGGUUUAAUUCGAAGCAACGCGAAGAACCUUACCUACCCUUGACAUCGUGCGAACUUUCCAGAGAUGGAUUGGUGCCUUCGGGAGCGCACAGACAGGUGCUGCAUGGCUGUCGUCAGCUCGUGUUGUGAAAUG
rnacentral:rRNA from 1 species